GUGUGGACAGCAAAGUAAGAAUUUCAUUGUACAGGAAAACCUGUGCAUAUGACAAUGAGCACUUUGAAUCUUGAAUCGUCUAAUUUUGAAGUUGUCUGAAUGUGUUUCAUCUGAGCUUCUGACAGUCGCUCCGAACGGCGAUAUUUUAUGCAGUAAUUUCAGGAAAUUUGUAAGCGUUUUUCUCAUUUGACCCUUUCUGUCUUUGUCUCUCUGAAUACCAGAGGAGCUGACGCAGUGAUUCACUCUCGCGCUGAAAUACUUUCCCAUGCUGAACAAUGAGAGAGGGCAGGACGCUGUUUACAGAGCCGGGUUAAAGCAUGACAGAGGUAUCACUCCGUCAGUAAAACACACACACGCACACACACACACACACACACACUGAUCACAAUCAUAAGAAGAAGAACGUUUUCUUCAUUUUCACGAACACUCGUAUCAAAACAUUUUACCAAAUAAAAUCCAAUAAGUUGUAGGACUUGUGGCGUUUGACUGGAGGGAACAAAAGAAGACUUUUCAGCAUCAGUAGAUUCUGUUAAGCCGCAGCAGCAGAUUUCAUCUACAGCCGGUGGAGCCUCGACUUACGACCUGCAGGCCCAUUUGAUCUGGCCAUAAAUUACUGGACAUCACAGCUCUCAGGAAGCAUCAGCGUUACCGGUUUAAAUUCACUCUGAUAGCCGCAAGGCUGCUGGUUUCAGAAACAUACAAUCCCAACGUUUCAUUCUGGCGACUGGCCUGCGCUGGCGAUACGUUCAGAAGAGCAGUUCAACGACCUGCUGGGUCUUCUUGCCCGUGAGCCACGAGGGUCCAACCCCUUUGACGUGCGACUGGACGUGCCAUCACAGACCUUCCUCUCUCUCAUCAGGUCACUCCGAGGCCACAGGGGCUUUUGUCUGGAUUCCGACACCUCCGACCUUUGGCUUCCUAACCACCAACUGACUGACCGUUUUGUCAUCAAGGAACUGAGUCUUGCUCUGCUAAGCUGGCACACACACACACACACACACACACACACACACUGAGACUUUCUUGUUACAGCCCAUUGAGCAACAGUUCACUUUGUACAGCAUGUGUGUGCACAUGUAUCCUCUGGCUGGGAGCCCAUCCAAACAGAAACCUCAACUGUGAGCAGUUGUGAAGUGUGUGUGUGUGUGUGUGUGUGUGUACUUUAAUAUCCAGGGAGUUACGUAAAAUAGACGCACUGUUUCAAAUCCAAUGCGCUAUAGUUUUUCUUUUCUUAACGAUCCAAACCAAAUCAUCCAGAGUGAUGUUCAGUGACACUGAACACUGAAGUGAACAUGUGGUUCAGACUGCACUGAAACACUGUACUGCCUCAAUAAGAGAAACUGGAGGGCAAAGACGAGGUGUUUACAGUAGAUGUUCUCCUUGAAAGGAAAGCCAACUGGCUCCUUCAGCUCUAAAGUGCAUCUUUAAAUCAUUAUGGAUCUAUUUAUUAAAACAAAUCUUCCACCCACAACUUUUCAUUCUGAUUGCGACUCUCAGUUUUUGCCUUCUCUCACUGCUCAAGUCUCCUUUCCAGCAUCAAGUGCCGACUGUGUGCAUCCCGCAAAAGCUUUCUUCUAAUGGGUUCUUCAGAUGCAGUGGAAAGGCACACUGGGACGUACUAGAGGGACUUUGGCAGGGACCGAUUUACCUCCUGACACCAAUACUGAGUGUUUUUGUUUGUAGCCAAAUGAUACCAAGAGCAUUCAGCCAGAUAUAUGGACAAAAACCAAAGUCUGACGCUAGGAGAAAAGUGAUCCACUGGGGACCAUGAAUGUCUUUACAAAAUUUCAUCUUAAUCCAUCUGACGGUUGAGAUAUUUGAGUUUGGACCAAAGCGGUGGAAAGACUGAGAGCUCGACGUUUGCUGAGCCAUAAGAACUCCACAGUGGCUACAUGUCCUGUACGAAUCCUGGUCUCACAUGUCGGUCUGGUCUGGAUGAAAAAAAGUCAACUCAAAGUGUCGUCUCUCAUACUUUUGUCUUGAUAGCUUUAGAGAAAAAUGAUGAUACGAUACAGGUCCUGUAACUGACCCUGUGUUUCUGUCAUCAGGUGAAUGAAUGGGUACAGCGGUGGUUUCACUGAUGGGAGUCUUUACUGUCAUCUGUGAUUACCGUGUGGGAUUUAUGACCUAUGAUUAGAUCGGUAUUUAUUACUCCUCUGGUCGUCUGACAAGCUGAGAGGCAUGUCAACGACAGAGUGACUGUCCCAUGCAGGUAACAGCGAGCUCCUCCUCCUCUUUGCUCUGCUGCUCACACACCAGCUCUGUUCUCCAGGCAAGAAAGAAACGAGGCACCUUCACCCCUCACGAUUCAGCCUGUCCACUGUAAGACUGGGAACACCACAUGGAUGGCCUGCGUGAACAGACACACCGUGCUGUCACUGUGUAACAUAUAUAUAAUAUAAGCUGUCGCACUGAUCUGAUGCUGCUUGUCUCCAGCCUGAAGCCAUCAGUGAGUGCGCUUCCUGUUCAGCUCUUUUAACCGAUUUAGCGCUCGGCAGAGACGCAGACAUGCUGUGCAACACAAAGUGGUGUUAUAUCUGUCAGAGACAAACUUGCAGCUACACUUCUGAGAAGAAGCGAAAAUCUGGUUUUACACCACAAAAAAUGAAAAGAACAAAGUCUGAAGUCCUUGAAAAGUUAGCAGGAGCAAUGGAGCUUUCUUUUAGUUUACAGUGAAAUCAGAGACUGCCCAAAAUACACACACACACACACACACACACACUUAACCACACUCCCUGGAAAGGCAAUAGAGGAGUCAGCACACAGACAUAUGUGUGUGGUAUGUAUUCCUAGAAGGAGUGUGUGAUGUUAUAUAAGCUCCUCCUGACUGUGUGUCAGUACACUGUGUUACUGUCUGAACCACAGGCAGCUGGCCUGCAGCUUCAACUGCCCAACUCUCAGGGUUUCUCGGUAGUAAAAGUCAGGGAAUCGGGUUUCACGGCAGCGUACCUUCAGGGACGGAAAUUUUGUUCAUACCCGAAAUAUCUCGACAACUGCUGGAUGAACUGUCAUUAAAUCUGAUGAAUCCUACUGACUGUGUCGAUCCUCUGACUUUUACGUCCGGAGCCACGUGCAGAUCAGUUUGUUUAAUACUCGGCUUUAUGAGCAACGCUGCAGGCUGCUGCUCUUGUAAAACACUGAGCUGAUCUGUGACGUUAAUAAAUUACAGAUCUGUGUCACCGCACAGGAACGCUGAUGUUGCUGAUGCAGAAGCCCAGCUGUUCAGUGACGACAUUUGUUUACGUCCAGAAUUUACAAAAGCUGUCUGCAGUAUCUGAGCCAAGCAGCCACAGUGUGCUUAAGGUUAGGGAAAGGUCUUGGUUACAGUUUAGAAAGUGGAAAAUGUUAAUUAUUUCCCAUUAAUUUUGUUUGUCAGUCUGGUGUUGAAGUAUCACAACUUCUGCCGUUAACUUCUGUUCCUUUGAACAAGUUAAACUGCUGGAAAUUUUGAUUUUUGAUCGACCGUUCACAUCAAUUUCCUGGUGAUAAACAUGCAAAUGUUUGACAGUGAGUUGACAGGGUGAAGUUAACUGAACUGAAUGCACCACUUGUUUAUCUCAACCGUCACAUUUUUAGGAUGGACACAACCUUAGAGACUCAUGUCCUUUGAAGGGCACUUCUGGAUUUGGAUUCAACUGGUUACAAUUGAUGCCUAAAAAUGCUUUAAUGUCUCAAAAUCGGUUUGAUGACAUUUUUCAGCUUAAAAGUCUGUAAAUGUAUCCAUUAAUGGUAACGUAAUUAAAAGUUGCCGUUAAAAUGCAAUGAACUGGAAUGUAUUACUGUAUUUUAAAAGAAUUAUCCAUACAUUUAAGGGUUCAAGAUGCAAAAACUCCUUAAAAUUUAGCAGACA